rnacentral:misc_RNA from 1 species
AUGUGAUGCGUUGUUCUCCAAUUAUAUAAAAACAGAGAAUCUGGUUUCAGGUUCCAGUGAUCAGUUCGAUCAGAGCGGAUACAAAAAUCUUAUCUUCCCUCAGCUUCGAAUACCGCUUGAAUUUUGUAGAAUCUAACGAAGAGAAGUGUUGUAAUACGACAGGCCGAUUUCAUUGACAUUUUAUGCACAAAUUUCUGAGAUAUAUAAAGAGAGCAGUGUUUCGGGUUUUUACUGAAUCGUAGGAUGGACCCUUUGACGGUAGCCACGCUUGCGGUGGCAUGCUUCGUAUUGUACCGGAUAAUCAAUUUUACAGUCAAGCUGUUUAAGGUUGCAUUGCUCUUCGAAUACCCGCUAAACGCUGAGGAAAUGCCGAGUCUGCCUUUCAUAGGCCAUGCGUAUCUCUUUAUUGGCGGUAAUGAAGCUAUCUUAAACAGGAUGUAUCAACUAGGGAAAAACUAUCCUACGUGGUGUCGAGUUUCAUUUGGUAACAAUCCAGUGUACUUCAUGACUUCACCUGAACAUCUGAAGGAGAUACUCCUGAGUCAGAAGACCAUUAAAAGAAGCUUCUUUUACGACUUUGCGCGACCAUUGUUGGGGGACGGAUUAAUGACAGCUCCCGAGUCAAUGUGGGAAGUGCACCGAAAACUGAUUCAGCCGUCCUUUAAUCCGGUGGUUCUCAAGUCUUUCUUGAAAACAUUUGCCACUCUGUCAGUGACACUGGCCAAAAAGAUGGAACAACACUUGGAUGGACCGGAAUUCGAAAUAUACAGAUACGUUUCGCUGUGUACAUUCGACGCAAUCUGUGUGACGGCCAUGGGCGUCAAUCUGAAUGCAAUGGAGACCGCGAAAUGUGAGUUCGACGAAGCAGUAAGUAAGGUGAUGACUGGUUUUACCAAACGAGCCACCAGUCCUUGGCUGUACCCAGACUUUAUUUUCUACCGUACGCAAGUUGGCAAGGACCAAAGAAAGUACAUCAAGUUUAUUCACGACUUCACUGAUAACGUGAUCCGACAGCGGAAACCAAUAAUCGUCCGGCGUAGUGAUCAACGGGUAUCGGCCGAUAAUGAACAAGAUUCUUUUGACACGUCCGCGGCUAGACCUCAGAUACUGAUAGAAAAUCUCCUGAGACUAUCGACGGAGAAGAAAACGCUGACAGAUGAACAGAUCCGGUGUCAUAUUGAUACGACGAUCGUAGGUGGCACCGACACAGCGGCCAUCACGAUGAACUAUUUUUUGUUGAUGCUGGCAUCCCAUCAAGACAUUCAGGAAAAAAUAUACCAGGAAUUGUGCGACAUUUUUGAAGAGAAUGUCUUGGAGGAUGACAAUGAAGAGUUGCAUAUCACGAUGGACGCCUUGGUGAAAAUGACGUACACGGAGAGAGUGAUCAAAGAAACUAUGCGCCUGUUCCCGGGUGCGCCCAUAAUCGGCCGGGAGACAACGGAUGAUUUGAAGUUAGGUUCGGAAGCUUUCCUCAUUAAUUAUAUUUUUCUGCCAUCGUACCUGGGUACUGCCCUCAAAAUCGAGUGAUAGACAGAUUCUUACCCGAAAGAUUCGCGACACAAGAACCAUACUCGUAUUUACCAUUCAGUGGGGGACGAAGAAAUUGUAUCGGUUGGAGGUACGGUAUGAUGU